rnacentral:lncRNA from 13 species
AGUUAGUAUAUAAGAGAGGAGAAACAUACACCCACUCUAUAGUCAGUAUUUAAGAGAGGAGAAACAUACACCCACUCUACAGUCAGUAUAUAAGAGAGGAGAAACAUACACCCACUCUACAGUCAGUAUAUAAGAGAGGGGAAACAUACACCCACUCUACAGUCAGUAUAUAGGAGAGGAGAGGAGAAACAUACACCCACUCUACAGUCAGUAUAUAGGAGAGGGGAAACAUACACUCUACAGUCAGUAUAUAUAAUAGGCACUGUCCCUCAUGGAAUAGUGGAGAAGCCACUUGAAAGGGCUUUGGGUAUUAAAGGACAAGUCUUGUGUUGGGAUGGAUUCUGUCAUGCAACAAAAACACUUUCCUCUUUUUGUCUUUCUUCUUAUACUCUUACUAACUAAGUCUGCGAUACAAAUGGGACUCUGUUCCCUACAAUAUAGGGAAUAGGGCGCUAUUUGAGGCCAAAUACCUAUUUUUUCCUAGCCUGUUUGUAGAAAAUAAGCCUGUGGUUUAUUGAGUGAGCGCGCUGCACCACCACUGGUACGUCCUGUACUCUGGCGUUUGUAAAGCAGGAGAGACAGACAGAUCGACCGACAGGUUCCAUUAAGAGGACGUUUAAACAGACUGUUUCAGGGAGACAACAUGGUGGAAGGUAAAGGGAUGGGAGCUUUGGUCAGAGGUGUCAUGUCAGUAAAGGUUAUAUGUAGUGAAUUGUAUUCGUCAGUCAUUCAAAAAGUUGUUGCCAACGUUGAAGGCCUCAUAUUCUAACACCCAUUAGGGUUAUUCCUCUGUCAGUGGUGUCUGUUUGGGCUUUAUUCAAAUUGAGGUUUACAUUUGACUGCCAUGACUGCUCCCUCCCUCACUCAUCACCCUCCCUCAUCUCCCUCCCUCACCUCCCUCCCUAACCUCCCUCCCUCAUCUCCCUCCCUCAUCUCCCUCCCUAACCUCCC